rnacentral:rRNA from 1 species
GAUGAACGCUGGCGGCGUGCCUAAUACAUGCAAGUCGAGCGAACAGACGAGGAGCUUGCUCCUCUGACGUUAGCGGCGGACGGGUGAUUAACACGUGGAUAACCUACCUAUAAGACUGGGAUAACUUCGGGAAACCGGAGCUAAUACCGGAUAACAUGUUGAACCGCAUGGUUCAACAGUGAAAGACGGUCUUGCUGUCACUUAUAGAUGGAUCCGCGCCGCAUUAGCUAGUUGGUAAGGUAACGGCUUACCAAGGCAACGAUGCGUAGCCGACCUGAGAGGGUGAUCGGCCACACUGGAACUGAGCCACGGUCCAGACUCCUACGGGAGGCAGCAGUAGGGAAUCUUCCGCAAUGGGCGAAAGCCUGACGGAGCAACGCCGCGUGAGUGAAGAAGGUCUUCGGAUCGUAAAACUCUGUUAUUAGGGAAGAACAAAUGUGUAAGUAACUAUGCACGUCUUGACGGUACCUAAUCAGAAAGCCACGGCUAACUACGUG